CACACCAUAUAAAUACACAAGAUAAUUGUGAAGGCCUACAGUAGAAAAUAUAAUAUUUUAUGGAGAGGCACAGUUUAAUGGAACAGUGAAGCAUGUUCUGGUGGUAUGCAUUGUUUAAUGGAACUGUUGCAGAAUCAGAUGAUGCCUGGGUGCCCAUCGGAAUGUGCCUCCUUCCCAAAUUUGGUCACUAGCCCAAAUAUUUUUUUUGUGCGAGAUGAUAACCAUCGAAAGGCGCCCCCCGUUUAAUCAUGUUAUGAAAUGUAAGUAUUUGGCUUGUUAUGUUAAUCAAUCUACGUUAAAUCAAUUCACAAAUGCCAAUAUAGAUAGAUGUAUGUAAAACAAAUGAUCAUACCUCUGGUCCUGCAAAAAAAAAAGAAUCACAUGAGCACCCGGAAGUCGGUCAAAACACUCUCUCACUAGGGUUGAGCCAAACUAAGAACCGCACAUAUUCGCUAAUCAGUACACCUAGAUGUCUGUUAAAUCCGACUAAAUUGAACAUUGAGAUGAUGUGUAGAUCUGAGUAUCUGCGCAGAUCCUCACAAAGUCUAACCCUCGUGAAUAUGCAGUACGAUUCUUGACCAAUCAGAGUAGACACCGAACGACAUGUGACAUUUGGAACGUCAACCAUAUGCAGUCAUUGGCCGUGUUCGAGAACAUCAAAAUCGUAAUGUAUCAUGGGUAAAUGGUGAAUGACUGAUUGAUCUACAAAUUACAAUGAGUCGUUAUUUAUGACGGACGGUGAUUUGUAGAUCAAUCAGUCGGCAGUCUCCUCCACUGUCGGCUGCAAUGUCGAACAAGACUAUUGAUGUCAACAAACCCCAUAUGAUCGUGCGACGCAAGCAAGCUUCCUAGACGCAGCGUAAAAUAUUUUGUGAUGAAGAUAUGAAGUGCCAUCUGUAGUAUUUACAGAGGAGCCCAGGGGCUGCUACCAGAGCAUGUACACCCAGUGAGGGUCAGGAGAGACCAUGGACCUGAGUGAGAGGAGGCCCAACAAGUGGUGGACAGAGUCGGACACCUUCGCCAUGCUGGCCCUCAUCGAGCAGCUGGACCUGGUGCAUGAGCUGGAUAAGAAGCGCCAGCGAAACGACUCGCACUUCCGCCGCCUGCGCUACAGCCUGGCCAAGCGGGACAUCCACUUCACUGUCAACCAGAUACGCAACCGCUGGAAGAGCCUCAAGCACAAGUACCGCAAGAUCAAGACGGCAGGAUACCGUAGCGCCGCUGCACGCCUGUCCACCAUCGAGUCGUUCCGUUACUUUCGUAUGCUGGACCGCAUGCUGGCCAGGAGGGCCCGGGUGGGGGCCCCAGUGCAAGGCAUUGCAGAUGGACACAAUAUGGUGGUGUUGACCCCUUCAGACCUGGAGGAUCAUACUGAUGGUGAUGUUGCUCAGCCCGAAUCUGCGGCCCCUUGGCAGGACAGCCUGGCUCCAGCUCUAGAGGGAGAAGCAGACGAGACCAAUGCCAUCCCAAUAGUGGACAACGCCAGCACUCCGGGCUGGGCCUUGAAGUCAGACGAGAUAAUCACUUUGGGUCUGUCUGGAGAGUAUCUUUACCCAGUGAAGAGAGAGCCACAUUCAGUACCCUCUUUACAUGAUGGUGAGGGAGCUAGGGACCCCACUGGCUGCAGUCCACAAGAACAAACUGGCACUUGUGAGGACACCAGCACCCUGAUCCUCCAGCAGCUCACCAUCCUGAACCAUCAGCUAGGGGAACAACUCGCUGAGCAAAGGGCCUUCCAUUGCAGCAUGCUGGGUAUGAUGGACCGACAGAUAGAGGUCCUGGAGCAGCUCUCCAACUUCUCCACAGGCCGCCAGGUCAAGGCCGAACCCGAUGACAGUAACACUCCUAUCAGCCAGCAGGUCCACAACUCCCUGGUGCGCAUCUUGAGAGGAAUGGAACAGGUCCAAACCCAAGGACACCAGCAAUGCUCAUGCAAGGCCUACCCCUCACAGCCUACAUCUCCCUCCUGGACAGUCUCUCUGUUGGAGGUCCAGAAUGAAUCGCCCUCCAGGGAUGAGAACUCAACUAGUGACACAUCCAACCCUCAGCCCUCAGACCAUGGGCGUCCUGAACCUCAAGGACCAUCCCCCUAGGAGCAGCUUCCCACUUCCCCACAGAAGGGGGUUUUGCUUAACGGACUCUCAAACAAGUUCCAGCACAACUGAGUGCUCUUGAAGCUUCAUCCUGACAGAGGAGAGCAUACACUCUUAGGAAAAAAUGGUUUCAAAAGGGUUCUUUAGUUGUCCCCAUAGGAGAACCCUUUUAGGAUCCAGGUAGAAUCGUUUUUGGUUUCAGGUAAAACACGUUUUUUCCAUGUAGAACCCUUUUCAGAGGGUGGUUCUACCUGAAAUGGUUCUACCUGAAACCAAAAAAAGGUUAUUCAAAGGGUUAUUCUAUGGGGACAGCCGAAGAAUUGUUUCAGGUUCUGGAUAUAAACUUUUUUUCUAAGAGUGUUGAAUACAAAUAUAUGGGUGCUUACAUUUAUGAGGGACUUGUCAUUUUGAGAAUGUAUUGUAAAAAA
rnacentral:lncRNA from 13 species